GAGAAAGCCUACAUGCAGUCGAGCGAGAAGCUGAUGACAGAUACUUCNGGUUGAAGGAGUCAGUGGAAAGCGGCGGACGGGUGAGUAACGCGUAGGCAACCUGCCCUUUGCACAGGGAUAGCCAUUGGAAACGAUGAUUAAAACCUGAUAACACCAUUUGGUUACAUGAGCAGAUGGUCAAAGAUUUAUCGGCAAAGGAUGGGCCUGCGUCUGAUUAGCUAGUUGGUAAGGUAACGGCUCACCAAGGCGACGAUCAGUAGCCGACCUGAGAGGGUGAACGGCCACAUUGGAACUGAGACACGGUCCAAACUCCUACGGGAGGCAGCAGUGGGGAAUAUUGCACAAUGGGCGAAAGCCUGAUGCAGCAACGCCGCGUGAAGGAAGAAGGCCUUCGGGUCGUAAACUUCUGUCCUUGGGGAAGAAGAACUGACGGUACCCAAGGAGGAAGCCCCGGCUAACUACGUGCCAGCAGCCGCGGUAAUACGUAGGGGGCAAGCGUUAUCCGGAAUUAUUGGGCGUAAAGAGUACGUAGGUGGCAACCUAAGCGCAGGGUUUAAGGCAAUGGCUCAACCAUUGUUCGCCCUGCGAACUGGGAUGCUUGAGUGCAGGAGAGGAAAGCGGAAUUCCUAGUGUAGCGGUGAAAUGCGUAGAUAUUAGGAGGAACACCAGUGGCGAAGGCGGCUUUCUGGACUGUAACUGACACUGAGGUACGAAAGCGUGGGGAGCAAACAGGAUUAGAUACCCUGGUAG
rnacentral:rRNA from 1 species